rnacentral:rRNA from 1 species
GAUGAACGCUGGCGGCGUGCCUAAUACAUGCAAGUCGAGCGAACAGACGAGGAGCUUGCUCCUCUGACGUUAGCGGCGGACGGGUGAGUAACACGUGGAUCACCUACCUAUAAGACUGGGAUAACUUCGGGAAACCGGAGCUAAUCCCGGAUAAUAUAUUGAACCGCAUGGUUCAAUAGUGAAAGACGGUUUUGCUGUCACUUAUAGAUGGAUCCGGGCCGGAUUGGCUAGUUGGUAAGGUAACGGCUUACCACGGCGACGAUGCGUAGACGAACUGAGAGGGGGAUCGGCCACACUGGAACGUGGACAGGGUCCAGACUCCUACGGGAGGCAGCAGUAGGCAACCUGCCGCAAUGGGCGAAAGCCUGACGGAGCAACGCCGCGUGAGUGAUGAAGGUCUUCGGAUCGUAAAACUCUGUUAUUAGGUAAGAACAAAUGUGUAAGUAGCUAUGCACGGCUUGACGGUUCCGAAUCAGAAAGCCACGGCUAACUACGUG